UGUCUUGUUUGAUUUCAUUACCAUUAUCUUAGAGUACAAAAGAGAUAAUUAUAAGGUUCUUGAAAUUAAAAAAAGUGCAAAAUUUCAUAUUAUUAGGUGGCUGCAAAAUAUUCUAACAGAGAAUUCACUGACUUUCUUGGGUCUAGCACUAAAUGCAUCAAUGAAGCUGCUCAUAAUAAUAUCAUAGAAACCGCAAUGGAAAGCGAAAUGUGAUUCACUGCAGUCAUUAAAAUGACGCAGUCACACAGUUAAACAAUACAAAACCAUCUGAUCAAAUCAAGGGUCCUAAUUUACCUUCUUUAAUUUUCCACUUUCAGCCUACAACACGGGGUAUUAAAAAUUGAAAGCCUCCCUUUUCAUAUUAAAAAUUGAAGGUGGUUUUGCCUUUUCCAUAACCUCCUGUGUUUUGGGAUGAAAGUGGAAAAUUAGAGAAAAUGAAUCUGGACCCUUAAUUUGAUCGGAUGGCAAUACAUUAUUUGAAUUGUGACUGCGUUAUUUUUCUGACUUCAGUGAAUCACGGUCCAUGGAAAGCAUUGACAGAUGUUUAUUAUACACUUCGGUUUCUCAUCAAAGUCGCAUAAAAUUAGAUUUACACAAUCAGCAUCAACAAAACAGUCCUCU
rnacentral:lncRNA from 1 species